UACGAGGGGGGCAAGCGUUGUUCGGAAUUACUGGGCGUAAAGCGCACGUAGGCGGCUUUUUAAGUCAGGGGUGAAAUCCCGGGGCUCAACCCCGGAACUGCCCUUGAAACUGGAGAGCUAGAAUCUUGGAGAGGCGAGUGGAAUUCCGAGUGUAGAGGUGAAAUUCGUAGAUAUUCGGAAGAACACCAGUGGCGAAGGCGACUCGCUGGACAAGUAUUGACGCUGAGGUGCGAAAGCGUGGGGAGCAAACAGG
rnacentral:rRNA from 1 species